rnacentral:lncRNA from 1 species
UUAAAGUAAAACAUUUAAGUAAGUACUAGCUUUUCUGGUGCCCACAUAGGGCAACAACACUCACCUAAGAUGCCUAUGAGUGACUGAAGGUGAGAAAACACCGGGGUACACUGUGGAAAUCUGAGAUGUGGAAGAAAUCAAGCUGUCACAGACGUCCCAGCUAGUCUACUGCACUCCAUGAUUAAAACUCUUACAUGUCUCUCAUGCAGCAUUUGAUCCAAGGCUGAAAAUUGAUCAUGAACUGAUUAGUUAAGAGAAGGAGAGGGGGCCAGACUCCAACAAAAGUCAGAUUUUGGUUGAAGUCAGAGAGAGGUUGUGAGAUUGCCAUCCCUUGACAUCUUUUUAAAAAAUGAAUUGUUUAAUCACCUUUUUUUUUAAGCUGAUUUCUUAGCCAUCUUGCAGAAAUAUGAGGCAGGGGCACUUAUCCAUUAGGUGCAGUAGGUAAGGUACCUAAGCCCAAUGACACCCUUAGCAGCCCAUGAAAAUGGUUUAGUUUCUUUCAUAAAAUGGUGCUGAAGAUAAUGAUAGUUGCAAAGGAAAAAAUACGGUAGACCAAUAUCAUAGUAUGAUACCAAGCAUAGGGCCUAUUAUUGGAAGCUAUUUCCAGUGCUCAGGAUAUUAACAUCUCCUGGAGUGUCUGCAAAACACAUCUUGAAGGGAGAACCAUAGUCCUCAAUUUGGCCUGCCUCUUUUAUUUGACAAUAAAGUUUUAUUUAUUUCUGAGCAUAAGAUUGGGAUUUUAUUUCUAGAAAAAGGGAGAAAAGGUGGAAGGAGGAGGAGGCAGGGAAAAGGUGGAAACUUGCCCAGGCCCAUAGCAGGAGCCCAACACAGGGAACACUUAAGCUUGUGUAGAGUACUUGUAACCAGAAGCCCGGAGGUGGAGCACAGCAGAGGAUGCAAUGUGCCACUGUCGCGGCCAGAGCCCAUGCAGUGUAAACAUUAACAUUCUUGGAUGCACUAAGCACUGGGCUGCGGUCUACACUUGCAUUCUGAGGUGGUGGAGUCAUGGCCAAAAUUUUGGAGUACUUGGACUUUUCUCAAGAAGCGUUGCACUUCUUGUCCGGACCGGGGAUUACCGCAGAUCGCAGCCCAGAGUCUGCGGAGGCGCACCGUUUCAUCAACAGCAGGGACUGAAACCAGCCCAGGAGAAGGCAAGAUGGCACCGUUAUCGCACCCUGGGAAUCGAGGACCGGGAAGAACUUAUUGAUGCGAUUCCUCCCGUGAUCUCAGUGAUUGUAUCAGGCGAAAACGAGGAGGGCAAAAUACCGUCCAAAUGUAAACAAGGAGCAGCCGCACCAGCAGCACCAGCAGAAUGCCGCGGUAGUGCGGCAGGCCCUGGCCCCAUGGACAAAGAGAAACUCGUCAGUGGCAGUGGCCACGAACUCAGAAAGCCUGAGGACAGUCAGCAGCUCCUCUGGCUCUUCACUUUCACACUGGUGCAACUACAGGAGCUGAAGAACAUUUUUCAACUCGUUCCAUACCCGGACGUGUUAGGUAAGUGGCAUGCUCAGGCGGCACCGACUUUUCACGGAGCAGGGGCUGGGCUCAGGGCUUAUUCUCUUUCCCCAGGCCCCUUCCAAACCUUUCUGAGCCAAAAGCUACCUAGGGGUUUCAAGGCUGCUGGGGCCUGUUUGCCCUUGGGCUUCAGGGUGGAGGCAAUGCCUCCUGGACACCAAGGUAAAUAUUUUCAAGCAACAUUUAAAUGAAUCAAGUGGGGAAACUUUGGCCUGAUAACUAGGUUUGUAUAAAUAGAAUUUGAUUGGAACAAGAACCAUGAUCAGGGUGAGGAGAGUAAGGCAUGGUCGUGCAAGUGGAUGGGCAAAUUCUGGUUUUAUGUAAAUAUUUGAUAAUUUGCUCAUAAUAUUUUUGAUUUUUCAGAGUAGUGCAAAAAGUGUUAUUUUUCUGGAAUCCUGAGUUUUUUUGUGCCCCCUUACAUUCACUAUGGGGGAAAAUCAUUCCUAAAGAAAGCCUCAAUCUGGAUAUUACAAAAUAGUGUACUCGGGGAGAGGUGUUGGGAGAUAAGUAUUUAAAAGCAAGCUUGAAAUGAACAACAUAAAUUUUGUUUCAUCCACAACUCUAAAUACUGAAUCUUUGUGGUUUUCUCUCACCAGAAAGGGACUUGUAAGAUGCAUGAGCAUGACUGAAACCAGUGUGCAGGUCACUAUACCUGAAAAAACUUAUUUGGCAGGGCAGCCAUUCUACAACCUGCUUCAAGAGGUAGAUACCAUUGCCCUAGAUAUUCUGAAGUUGGUGUGUUUUUGUUGCCUUUUCCAGGUUUGGGAAAUAAGUUCAAACUGUGAGUUUUUGCGAAUAGAAAAUGGGAUAAGAAAACCUCAGCUUAGGGAAAUUUCCCAUUAUCAGAGCAUACACGAUUUCAAAAAAGGCCAAAGAAAGUAGAACCAAACUACUUUUCUAGUUCCUAUAUAUUAAUACAAUUAAAUGUGUAUGUGAAUAAUAUCAGUAUGAAGUAUCUAAAUAUGUUAUAUUGUAUAUAAAUAUAAAUAAAUAAUAUGCAGUAUAUGUGUUUGUAUGUAUGUGUGUAUAUAUAUACACACAAAUACAUAUGUGUAUAUAUAUUAGGGAGGACAUCUAUGUGAAGAUUAUCGAUAAGAUGGGAAUAAAAGCAUUGUCUAUGCCAUAGAAUUGAGAAGAGGAAUAAAUGACAAUAUAUGUAAGUACCUAGCACAAUACCUAGUCACAGAGUAAGACCUCAGAAAUAUUUGUUACUAUUACUCUGUAAUAUAUCCUCUCACCACAGUAUAACCCAUGGCAUAUGUGACAUAACAGAAGAAGCCUGGUUAGGAGUCACACAUUUGGUUCUUUUGGAGAUACACACUGAAAUAUUUACUGAUGAAAUGAUGUGACGUCUAGAUGUGCAUCACAAAAAUCCAGGGGGAGAUCCAAGUGUGUUUGAGAAUUGGUUAGGGUAUUCAUGAAACAAGGUUGUCUAUGAUAAUUGUUGAAACUGGGUAAUGGGUACAAAUAGGGUUCAUCUUUACCAUUCUCUCUGCUUUUGUAUAUGUCUGACAGUUUGCAUAAUAGAAAAAUUGUAAUAAUCAGAGUUGUAAAUUCAAAUGUUGACAAGGCCAGACAGGUAAUAAAAGAGAGAAGCAAGCAGGGUAGGGACUGUGGCAAACUGGGAAAGAAUAUGUCUCUUCCAAAGGGGCAGCCAGUAUUCAGCUCCAGCUUAGUGUUGCUGGCUGGCAAUGUUGGGCCAGGACUGCCAGAUUUUUCAGUUUUUCAAGAUUGGCCACAAAUUAUAAUGUUGAUAUGAAACCUUCAGUUCUUCAAAUGUUGGUAACUAACUGAAAUAUGUUUUAUUGAAAAGUAUGCUGGCCAUCUAAAUCAGGUCUGCAGAACAGACUCAGGCUGGAGCUGCUAGUUUGUAAACUCUGCCUAAGAAGCCAAUUUUAAGCAAAUUUCAUUCUCUGGAGCAGUAGAAUAUAAUUGACAGCGUUUCUAAAGCCAACAAUCCAAGAAUGCCAUUGUGCUGUCCUGCUGUUCCUUAUUAUAAGUCCCGUGCCCAUAUAUGCUUUGCUCUCUGCCUUCCAUCCCUACCUGAAGUUUCUCUAACUUUAUCUUUCAUUCUCUUUACUUGGUUCUGAUCUUAAGGUUCAGAGCACUGAUGACCAAGACUUCACAAGUGUCCAAGAGAGGAGACCUCACAGUAAUGAAUUAGGCACCAGCUCACCUGAUCUUUCUCUCUGGUACAUUUUGCAGCUGUUCUUAAGAAUAUGCAGGUCCUUUGGACAGUUUUCAGAAAUAUUAUGCCUCAAGGGGCAAGGCACCAGGCUGGAAGGGCAGGGCACCCUUGAGAAGAAAAAGGGAAUUUUAUAAAACUAGUAUCAAUUUGUGAUCAAGUAGAACUUCCUGAAGUUCAGCAGUUCUUUCAAUCUCCC